rnacentral:rRNA from 1 species
GACGAACGCUGGCGGCGUGCUUAACACAUGCAAGUCGAACGGAAAGGCCCUGCUUUUGUGGGGUGCUCGAGUGGCGAACGGGUGAGUAACACGUGAGUAACCUGCCCUUGACUUUGGGAUAACUUCAGGAAACUGGGGCUAAUACCGGAUAGGAUCUCCUGCUGCAUGGUGGGGGUUGGAAAGUUUCGGCGGUUGGGGAUGGACUCGCGGCUUACUAGCUUGUUGGUGGGGUAGUGGCUUACCAAGGCUUUGACGGGUAGCCGGCCUGGGAGGGUGACCGGCCACAUUGGGACUGAGAUAGGCCCCAGACUCGUACGGGAGGCAGCAGUGGGGAAUAUUGCACAAUGGGCGGAAGCGUGAUGCGGCAACGCCGCGUGCGGGAUGACGGCCUUCGGGGUGUAAACCGCUUUCGCCGGUGACGAAGCGUGAGUGACGGUAAUGGGUAAAGAAGCACCGGCUAACUACGUG